GAGCCCGCACAAGCAGUGGAGUAUGUGGUUUAAUUCGAAGCAACGCGAAGAACCUUACCAGGGCUUGACAUCCACGGAAGACUGGGUAAUGCCGGUCGUGCCCUUCGGGGAGCCGUGAGACAGGUGGUGCAUGGUUGUCGUCAGCUCGUGUCGUGAGAUGUUGGGUUAAGUCCCGCAACGAGCGCAACCCUUGCUGUCAGUUGCUACGCAAGAGCACUCUGGCAGGACUGCCGUUGACAAAACGGAGGAAGGUGGGGAUGACGUCAAAUCAUCAUGCCCCUUACGCUCUGGGCUACACACGUACUACAAUGGAUUAAAAACAGAGGGGAGCAAAGGCGCGAGCCGGAGCAAAUCCCAAAAAGAGUCCUCAGUUCAGAUUGCAGGCUGCAACUCGCCUGCAUGAAGUUGGAAUUGCUAGUAAUCGCGGAUCAGCAUGUCG
rnacentral:rRNA from 1 species